AUAUGCUCAAAUGUAAUUGUUGUCUCAUUUUUAUCCUUUUUGUAGUGUAAAGUAUAAAAAUGAGACAACAAUUACAUUUGAGCAUAU
rnacentral:miRNA from 1 species